AUACGUAGGGGGCUAGCGUUAUCCGGAUUUACUGGGCGUAAAGGGAGCGUAGGCGGAUAUUUAAGUGGGAUGUGAAAUACCCGAGCUUAACUUGGGAAGCUGCAUUCCAAACUGGAUAUCUAGAGUGCAGGAGAGGAGAAUGGAAUUCCUAGUGUAGCGGUGAAAUGCGUAGAGAUUAGGAAGAACACCAGUGGCGAAGGCGAUUCUCUGGACUGUAACUGACGCUGAGGCUCGAAAGCGUGGGGAGC
rnacentral:rRNA from 1 species